rnacentral:rRNA from 1 species
CCUACGGGUGGCAGCAGUAGGGAAUCUUCGGCAAUGGGGGCAACCCUGAACGAGCAACGCCGCGUGAGUGAAGAAGGUUUUCGGAUCGUAAAGCUCUGUUGUUAGAGAAGAACGUGUGUGAGAGUGGAACGUUCACGCAGUGACGGUAACUUACCAGACAGGGACGGCUAACUACGUGCCAGCAGCCGCGGUAAUACGUUGGUCCCGAGCGUUAUCCGGAUUUAUUGGGCGUAAAGCGAGCGCAGGGGGUUGGAUAAGUCUGAAGGUAAAGGAUGUGGCUCAACCAUAGUAUGCUUUGGAUACUGUUCAACUUGAGUGCAGAAGGGGAGAGUGGAAUUCCAUGUGUAGCGGUGGAAUGCUUAGAUAUAUGGAGGAACACCGGUGGCGAAAGCGGCUCUCUGGUCUGUAACUGACGCUGAGGCUCGAAAGCGUGGGUAGCGAACAGGAUUAGAUACCCUAGUAGUC